CCUACGGGGGGCAGCAGUGAGGAAUAUUGGUCAAUGGCCGAGAGGCUGAACCAGCCAAGUCGCGUGAGGGAUGACGGCCCUACGGGUUGUAAGCCUCUUUUGUCGGGGAGCAAAGAGAGUCACGCGUGGCUCAUUGAGAGUACCCGAAGAAAGAGCAUCGGCUAACUCCGUGCCAGCAGCCGCGGUAAUACGGAGGAUGCGAGCAUUAUCCGGAUUUAUUGGGUUUAAAGGGUGCGCAGGCGGAGGUGCAAGUCAGUGGUCAAAUUGCGGGGCUCAACCCCGUACUGCCGUUGAAACUGCAUCCC
rnacentral:rRNA from 1 species